UUAUAUUUCAGUUAUGGAUUUGUAACCUAGAGUUACAGAUCUAUAACUGCUUUGUACUCACUAUUAUAUAUUCAUGUUUACAACACUUAUAAAUGCCUUCCCCAAAACCUUCCUCAACAGCCAGCAGCCACAGUGAUAGAGAUCUAUUCUGCCACUGAUCUGGGUGCUAACGGAUGACAUUUCCAGCCCUCUCCCACUAGUGGGUGAGACUGCAACAAGGAAUUGCAAGAAGAGGCCUGCUUCUGAUUGUUGCAGCUUCACUUGCUGAUGGAGUGGGGAUUAGAAAUGUCAGCCUGCUGUGUCCCAUCAGCAACAGAAGGGACCUGACCAUUCUGAGCUCAAUUCAUGGCACUAAUUUAGAUGGGAGGAAAUUUUUAUUUCUAUAGUUUGACACUACAGAAAGUUUGAGUAGAAAAGAAGCCUUCUCAUUUAACUUAUAUGUUCAUUAUUUUUCAGUUUCAAUGAACCAUGCUGGGAAUUCAUAAAAGGCAAUUACGAUACACAUAUCCAAAACAGAACAUCAUGAACUCAUUUGGAAUCUCCCAGCUGCAGCAAGGAUUUGGGUACUGAGUGCCCCCCAGUUGUCUGAGGGACAGCAACCCGGCCCCCGGCUCAAAAAGAUUGCCUACUCCUGGUGUAAAGGAUCCAGGGGAGUAAAACCAACAUAUCUGCAGUUUUGAAGACAUUUAGGACUCUUUGCAAGUGGAAAUGGCCUAAAAAUCAAACCAAGGAGCUGUUGCUAUGAUACAUCAUGCCCAUUGAUAUCAGCACACAACAUGACUCAUUUCAUGGCCAGGAGAAAGCAUGACAAGGACCUAUCAGAGCGGGAAAUUAGAAAGAUGCUGUUCCAGAAAACCAUUAGCAUAAGGCACCUCAAUGUAAUUUAAAGUGGUUUAUGCUUUUAAGAAAAUGACAUACAUUUACAAUACACGUGUGCAAAAAAAAUGAGUUUUGUGCAUCUCCAGGACAAAUGUUCAGUUGCUGAACAGUACAAAAAAUGAUAGUUGAAAGUGACAUUUGAUGUUGCCAUCAACAUUUAUCUGCCCAUGUCCCACAAUGUGGUAUGAGCUCCUACGAAUGGAUAGAGGUCAUUCAGAUUUUGGGAGAAAAUAUUUUUUGGAUUACACAUCCCAGCUCUUGCAGGUAGCACGGCCAAUGGCCAUGAGGGCUGGGGUAGUGUGAGAGCAAUAAUACAAAAAGGAAACAUUUAUAUGUUUUGGCCAUGUGUUAAGUAACUGGCUUCCCUAGCCAAUUUACAGCAGUGCUUUUUGGUACACAGAAAAGAAGAUAUGAAACAACUGCAGUUUUUAAUUGGAGCUAGGAAUAUUCAUAAAUUUUCUCAUCUUUGACCAAAGAAAGAAAGAGACAGUAUGUUGAUACAUCCAAAAUUGACACGCACAAAAACUGCUGUGAAAAUUUUUUGGUAAUGGGAAAAAUGCAAAAUAAAAUGCACAAAAAAUACAAAAACAAUAUUUUGCCCAGAAAGCUGUGGCUGAGAUCUUGCAUCACAUUGGCAAACUAUAAGGUUCCACACAUGUAGUUGCAUCUUCUUCUUCCCCUCCCACAGACACUCUUGACCUACUUGUCUGGAAUCUGCCACUCUCCAUUGGCUAUUCAGUGUCUAAGAGAGAACAGGAGUAGGAUGAGGUCUACCAGGAAGAGAGCUGGUUGCAGUCCUGCAGUCACCCACAAGAAGAUAUCAUCCUCCUGGACCUUUGGAGGAUCCCUGGGAAGUCCAAAAACUAUUUUUUUUCCUCUUCCUUGGUAAAGCAGGAGGAACAAACCCACCUGUCUUUCCUUUGUCCUCCUCCUCUUUAGACACUGAAUAACUAUGGAAGUGCCAGCUCAGCCUGCAGACAGUUAAAUAACUCAAAGAGGAAGGCAGAACACAUGGAGGUGUUCAAUUCCUUCAUCCACCACAACCAAUACACACACACACACACAAAGAGAGGGGAGGGUGACAUGAUUUUCAGUUAUGCCUUUAACUGCAAGAUCUGUAGUACACUGUUUUCUGAAUAAAUGGAGGUU